rnacentral:rRNA from 1 species
AUUGAACGCUGGCGGCAUGCCUUACACAUGCAAGUCGAACGGCAGCACGGGAGCAAUCCUGGUGGCGAGUGGCGAACGGGUGAGUAAAGUAUCGGAACGUGCCCAGUCGUGGGGGAUAACGUAGCGAAAGUUACGCUAAUACCGCAUACGAUCUAUGGAUGAAAGCGGGGGAUCGCAAGACCUCGCGCGAUUGGAGCGGCCGAUAUCAGAUUAGGUAGUUGGUGGGGUAAAGGCUCACCAAGCCGACGAUCUGUAGCUGGUCUGAGAGGACGACCAGCCACACGGGGACUGAGACACGGCCCAGACUCCUACGGGAGGAAGCAGUGGGGAAUUUUGGACAAUGGGCGAAAGCCUGAUCCAGCCAUGCCGCGUGCAGGAUGAAGGCCUUCGGGUUGUAAACUGCUUUUGUACGGAACGAAAAGGUUUGGGCUAAUAAGCUGAGCUCAUGACGGUACCGUAAGAAUAAGCACCGGCUAACUACGUGCCAGCCGCCGCCGUAA